rnacentral:rRNA from 1 species
CAGCAGUGGGGAAUAUUGCACAAUGGGGGAAACCCUGAUGCAGCCAUGCCGCGUGUGUGAAGAAGGCCUUCGGGUUGUAAAGCACUUUCAGUAGGGAGGAAGGUAGUGUAGUUAACACCUGCAUUAUUUGACGUUACCUACAGAAGAAGCACCGGCUAACUCCGUGCCAGCAGCCGCGGUAAUACGGAGGGGUGCGAGCGUUAAUCGGAAUUACUGGGCGUAAAGCGCAUGCAGGCGGCUUGUUAAGUCAGAUGUGAAAGCCCCGGGGCUUAACCUCGGAAUUGCAUUUUGAAACUGGCAGGCUAGAGUCUUGUAGAGGGGGGUAGGAAUUUCAGGUGUAGCGGUGAAAUGCGUAGAGAUCUGAAGGAAUACCAGUGGCGAAGGCGGCCCCCCUGGACAAAGACUGACGCUCAGAUGCGAAAGCGUGGGGAGCAAACAGGAUUAGAUACCCCUGGUAG